rnacentral:lncRNA from 1 species
GUGCCAGUUCACCGAAGCUCCGGCUGAGGUCUUGCUGAGCACCCGCAGGCGCCUGUGUAUCAAUAAAUCGCCUCUCGCUUUUGCAGCCAGUGUCUCGUGUGCUUUUCCUUGGACAGGGAGUCGGAGGGUCUUUCACAGGUUCCUGCAGAGAGUCACAGACUUCUUUCUGGGUCUGGAGCUGGAGUGGUGAUGUCCAGGACAGAAGCUACAAGGUAAGGGGCACAGAAGCCCGUUGUGGGAGGGUCUGAUGCUUUGUAUUUUCCUCUUAGGGUCCAAGGCAACGUAUCAGCCUACAGCAGGUAAAGGGGAGACCUGCUUAUGGUCACACCCAGGUAGAGGGAUGGAAGGUGUUUGGGGAGGGCUAGGCAGGGCUCUUGUCUCCAGAGGCUGAGUAGGAGGACCCUGGCCUCCUGACCUCUCCCCGCAGCAGGCUGAGUGCACUUCAUCCCCUGCUUCCUGGUUCAUUCUGUGGCUCAGAGGCCAGGUAAGUGGCUCUGGAAGAGGAAGUCCCAGGAGUGAUAAGGAGGAUGUUGCUUGGAGGUCUUUCUCUCCCAGAAGAAUCACAACACAGGCUGCUUACAAGGAACUGGACAUCUUACCCUCCCGGAAAACCAGGAGGUAAGGAGCUUAGUCCUAUCUUCCCAGAUGUACUCAGGUCAGUUGAGGAGACACUCCCUCUGGGAGAAGAAGGAGGGCAGUGGUGUUGGUCUGUCCAGGUGUUUGGAGAAAGUGAUGGCCACUCUCAGGCUGAAAGCACCUCCUCGCACACAGGUCUUUGAUGUCAAUAUGUGAGCAAGUGUGAGCACAUGCCCAGGAUGCACAGUUGGUGAGAAGUGACCACUAUGGCCAUUGUGUUUGUUUCUUUCCCUCUACCUGCUAUGGGAAGGAAUGUAGGGAGGUGAGGCCGCUCAGACCUGGAGGGCAUGGUAAGGGCUAUUUCAACUGUUAAUUUUUCCAUUGAUUCUGUGUGUGAUUCUUUAUGGGAGCUAGGAAGAGCCUGAGACAGAAGAUGCAAGAGGGGAGGACCUUGGAGCAUCUGGGGGAUGGCAGGCCUUGCUGUCUUUGCCACAGGAAGUGCACCGUCCCUCCCUGGGUUUGGAAUGGACAAGAGCCUGCUGUCCUCACCUGGAGGAGUCUUCCUACUGCAUAGCAGGUUGGAGCUCUUUAUGCAUUUUUCCUGCAAUUUCAGCAGCUCUCCACCGCUUCAACCCAGCCUCAUGGAAAUUUGGCUGUGACCUGCGGACAGGAGAUGGCUUUUCUCCGUCUCUUCCCACACCUAGUCAUGCCCCACACGUGUUUACUGCCCAUCCACCUGUGGCCAGAUUUGGUGAGCUCCCUGCCUUCUCCAGGUUUAGCCGACCUGCUUGGGUUGUGCAGCUGCUAUCUGGCAGCCCAGGGACUCUGACCAAGCCCCUGUCCCUAGGGUCUGCGUUCUCAGAAACAACUCUGCUUCCUCUCUGUAGGAGACUUGGCACAGGAGAGGGAGAUGCAGAGGCUGGACCUAUCAGGCCAGGGAGCUACCUUCUGGAGACUUCAAUCAGAAGGGGUAGGGAGUUUUCAACUCUAGAUUUCCAAAAGUGUUCUGCUUGGGUCCCUUUGGUGACCACGGGGACUUGAAAACCCUCAUCAGUCCUGGGGGAUGUUCUGGUUUCUCCAAAGAACUGUGAAGGUCAUUGGGUACCACAAAAUAUUUGUCAUCAGGACCAAAAGGCCUCAAAAGCUCAGUGUGACUGUUGUGUGUCCGCCAGGUUCAGUGGAAACAUGGCUCCUCUCAGCCUCUUUGCUGAUUCUGGUUUGAAGGUAUUUAAUUCCUCCCUCUCUCCAGGUACGGUUUACAAACAGGCACGGAGAACCCAGCAGCAAGAAGUUUUCCCUGAUACUAUUUUUGGGUGCAGGCACAGGACUGGGGAUGGAACCCAGCGAUGCUUUACCUCUGAUCUACAUUCCUCGUCCUUUUCACUUUUUAUGGAGACAGGGUCUUGCUAAGUUGCUAAGGCUGGUCUGGAACUUGCAAUCUGCCUUCUUCAGCCUCCUGAGAAGCUGAGAUUACAGGCGUGUGUCACCAAGCCCAUCGGGAGGUUGGCUCUGAAAGCCAUAAAGGGCUGUUGAUCCUCAGGGAGUUGGGACGCAGGUGAGAGCAUGAAAACUUGGAUGAACAGCUUCCCUUUCUACAGACACAGACGGUCAGUCUUCAUAAAGUAAUAAGAACACAUGUCAUUUUGUGCUACUAAUAAAUGCCUCAUUUGUCCACCAUGGCUAAUAUUUAGGAAUUCUUAUUACUUAGUCUGGGGACUACACUCUGGACAUUUCUGGUGUCCUUCAUUUUGUGCCUUGAGGAAGAGUUUCCCUCUGAGUUGAUACUCUGACUACUACUGCUGCACACACACACACACAUACAGAGAGAGAGAGAGAGAGAGAGAGAGAGAGAGAGAGAGAGAGGGAGAGGGAGAGAUUGAUUUUGUUGUAGUUGUUGCUCUGUGGUGGGGGGGAUCAAACCCAGGGCCUUGUAGGUGCCAGGCCUCACUCUGCCACAGCUACUCUGUGCUGGUGCACUUAUUUAUAAAAUUUCUAGGUCUUGAUUAUCCCCACAGGCUUUACUUGCAUGUUUGCUGUGACAACGGAUGGUCCUACCAGCAGGAGGCAAGGAACACAGGUGAGUCUGUCUACAGGUUGCAAAAGGUCCAUGUAAGAUCUUUCAUGUUUGUAAGGAACACUGAGAACGUGUGUCCACGUGCAGCUCUGAAAGGGAUGGGGAACGUGUUGUGUUCCUUUUGGGUACCAUGGAUCACUCACAGGAAUUUGAUGCAGGCCUGUAUGUUGCAGGAUUUGUCCCCAUGACCCAGAUGUAAAUCUGAUGAAAACAGAUCUUCCCUCAAGUCACCUGGAGUCAGGUAGGGGAGAGAAAGGCUGGAAUAAAGAGGUGAAAUGAAAGGAGCAGGUGGCAGAGACAGAGGUAAGUGUCCCUCUCUUCCCACCCCCAAGGGUAUGUGAGAACUUCCGACCUGGCUUCCUAACCAGUUAUAGGGAGGCCAUUACCUCCCUCACAGGUCACCCAGUUCCACUUGGGCAAUGUAGGGAGGUCUUUCUGGUCUUCACACUGGCAGAACAGAGUAGAAAUAGGGCUUAUCUCAUCAGUCUAAUGUGGUAAUUAGGGUGUUAGAUCAGGAUGUUUGCCAUGAGAAAUGGGUGUCCCUGUCAGCUCUGAGAGGGACCGUGGCCUUUCCUGCACCGACAUGUGAAGUGCAUCUCAGGAAGAAACAAGGAAAGUCAGAGAGACCGAUGGGAACAAGAUGGAAGGACGUUUGGGGGAGAUGACUUCUCUGGAGGAGAGGAGCUGGUGGGUGAUGGUUCUGGCCACCCAUUUUCCUGAUGCUCACUUCUUCCCCUUCAGGUUCCCAACCCCCAUGAAGAAUCACAGGUAUUCCCUGGUGGGGAAAGAGGUUCUGGAUCCUCCACACAUCCACUUGAUUUUCUGAGGCACUUGGUGAGGGUGGGGCCAGGGAGUGGGAAGAGAUGGAGGCACAGGCCACCCUCUGCCCGCUUGUGUCCCCAUGAGGUGUCAGGCAAGCAGUGAGGGUGGCCAUUGUGUGGGCUGGGGUGUGAUGCCCCUAGGGUCCUGCAACCUCCCGGUUCCAAUGACUGUAGUAUGGCAACAGCUUGUGUGGAUUCCUCCUUCUUCACUCCGUGUCUGCUCCCCAAAAUCCCCUCUGAUGCAGGGACAGGGAGAAGAUGUGAGACCUGCCAGGUAGGUGCUGCAGGGCUCAAAUCUGCCAGCUCACAUUCCUGUCCUGCGACCUCCCGCCUGCACAUCUAGUCAGCAGAUGGAAGCCUGCCAUUUGUGAAUUCUGUGAGCCCUGGUUGUUUUUUGCUUCUCUUUCCCAGUAAGGGUGGCUGAAGUUAGGGUGAUAGGACUAGAUGAUCUUUAGGACAAGUAGCCCUCUCCCUUGACCCACAGUGGCAACACGUAGAGAAACAUCAGUGUUUCCAGCAGUCGGCUGGAAAGCACACUGGGAACUUAGCAAUAUUUGGUCAGCCAACGCCCAAGGCUCCUUUCAACCCUAAGAAGGUGAGUGGAAGGUGAGUCCAAUCCCCAGCAUUCAAAUAAACGCAGAAAGAGCAACCUGUGGCUCACAGCUAUAAUUGUGAAGGUCAUCUGUUCCUGGGUAAAAACGAUUCUGAAUUAUCUUAGAUCUUUGCUACACCUAGCCUUUCAGCACUGUGAACUGUGAGGCUUCCCUUUCAAUAUCCUGAGAAGGGCAUGGAAACUAAAGUCACAACACUGAAGGGCAGUUGGUGGGCUGCAGUAACUGUGGUUCCGACUGCACCUGUAUACCUGUGAGCACACCUUUGGCAAUGGGCCUUUUUCUCCUCCUCCAGUCAGGCCUGGAAUUCAUUUCCCCACGUACUGACCCUGAGUGGCUCUAUGUGACUCCUUUUGGAAUAGUGUGUUUGAGGCAUGUCAUUGGUCACCUUCCUAGGGCCUGCCAGGGAAGAUGGCUUUUCUUAGUUUCUGCCCUUGUCUGUCAGCAGCUGGAGCUCUCUGUGCUAUGAAGAAUUCCAGAGUGAAAGUUCAAGUGCAGGGAGAGACCCGUCAGCCUGGCUGUUCCUGCCUUUCCUUCUGGGAUCUGAUAUUCUAAUGAGAUGGGCUUCUGAGUCCAGCCCACAUUCCCUGACUGCAAUGGCAUGAGAGAGCUCAGGUUGGUCCAGCAGGGCUUUGUGUGAUCCUCAGGUGAGCACAGGUAGCCUACUUGUGAUCCUCAGUUGAGACUACUUGUUUUCUUCAAUGCGCUCAACUACAUUUCACUUCUCUCAGCUUUUCUUAUUCAUCUACAAAUGUGAUAAAGCAAAGAUGACCCAAAUAGACUACUUAAAAUAGAGGAAUAAGAGAAUUUGCAGAAAUAUGCAUCAGCUC